rnacentral:tRNA from 1 species
UGGGAGGUCGUUCAAUGGUAGGACAGCUGGCUCUGGACCAGCAUAUCGGGGUUCGACUCCCUGCCUCCCAGCCA